AACGAACGCUGGCGGCAUGCCUAACACAUGCAAGUCGAACGAUACCUUCGGGUCUAGUGGCGCACGGGUGCGUAACGCGUGGGAACCUUCCCUUAGGUGCGGAAUAACUCCCCGAAAGGGGUGCUAAUACCGGAUAAUGUCUUCGGACCAAAGAUUUAUCGCCUUUGGAUGGGCCCGCGUUGGAUUAGCUAGUUGGUAGGGUAAAAGCCUACCAAGGCGACGAUCCAUAGCUGGUCUGAGAGGAUGAUCAGCCACACUGGGACUGAGACACGGCCCAGACUCCUACGGGAGGCAGCAGUGGGGAAUAUUGGACAAUGGGCGAAAGCCUGAUCCAGCAAUGCCGCGUGAGUGAUGAAGGCCUUAGGGUUGUAAAGCUCUUUUACCCGGGAUGAUAAUGACAGUACCGGGAGAAUAAGCUCCGGCUAACUCCGUG
rnacentral:rRNA from 1 species